rnacentral:misc_RNA from 1 species
UCGGAAUGUAGUUUUUAAAGGUAUUCAUCUUUUCUCAAUGUUCUCUUUGUUACAUGUAUAUUCAUCACAUGUAGUUUUUAAAGCACGUUCCAUGUAUAUUCCUCUUUUCUCAAUACAUGGAUAUUUUCUAAUGAUUUGCAAAUUUCUCACUUUGUGGUCACUUUAGUGCAGUUAAGUUCUUAUUUUUUAUCCACUUUCUUUUAACUGGUUUUACAUCUGGAAUGCCUGCCGUAAUUCUUAAUAUUGGGUGAACAAAGGAAGUAACUAUAAAACCAUCAAAAUAUCAUCAUAAUAUUGUGAUUAUCUCCAUUCUUGUUGCAGAUAAUAUUGGGUUAUUGUUGCUGUUUUUUUCUCUUAUUCUUGCUAUGCUAAAACUUAACACACUAACUAUGACUGAAUUUCUUUUUCUGCACCUUUAGGUAAGAAGUCUUUUAUACGAACGCCCACUAAGUUAGCUUCAUCUGUUGUCUAUCCAUUUGCCUUCAUCAAACCCUGUGGGUUC